AACGAACGCUGGCGGCAGGCUUAACACAUGCAAGUCGAGCGCCCCGCAAGGGGAGCGGCAGACGGGUGAGUAACGCGUGGGAAUCUACCCAUCCCUACGGAAUAGCUCCGGGAAACUGGAAUUAAUACCGUAUACGCACUACGGGGGAAAGAUUUAUCGGGGAUGGAUGAGCCCGCGUCGGAAUAGCUAGUUGGUGGGGUAAAGGCCUACCAAGGCGACGAUCCAUAGUUGGUCUGAGAGGAUGAUCAGCCACAUUUGGACUGAGACACGGCCCAGACUCCUACGGGAGGCAGCAGUGGGGAAUAUUGGACAAUGGGGGCAACCCUGAUCCAGCCAUGCCGCGUGAGUGAUGAAGGCCUUAGGGUUGUAAAGCUCUUUCACCGGGGAAGAUAAUGACGGUACCCGGAGAAGAAGCCCCGGCUAACUUCGUGCCAGCCGCCGCGGUAA
rnacentral:rRNA from 1 species